rnacentral:rRNA from 1 species
GACGAACGCUGGCGGCGUGCUUAACACAUGCAAGUCGAACGGAAAGGCCCUGCUUUUGUGGGGUGCUCGAGUGGCGAACGGGUGAGUAACACGUGAGUAACCUGCCCUUGACUUUGGGAUAACUUCAGGAAACUGGGGCUAAUAACAGAUAGGAGCUCCUGCUGCAUGGUGGGGGUUGGAAAGUUUCGGCGGUUGGGGAUGGACUCGCGGCUUAUCAGCUUGUUGGUGGGGUAGUGGCUUACCAAGGCUUUGACGGGUAGCCGGCCUGAGAGGGUGACCGGCCACAUUGGGACUGAGAUACGGCCCAGACUCCUACGGGAGGCAGCAGUGGGGAAUAUUGCACAAUGGGCGGAAGCCUGAUGCAGCAACGCCGCGUGCGGGAUGACGGCCUUCGGGUUGUAAACCGCUUUCGCCUGUGACGAAGCGUGAGGGACGGUAAUGGGUAAAGAAGCACCGGCUAACUACGUG